UAGGGCGGGACACGAGGAAUCCUGUCUGAAUCCGGGUCGACCACGAUCCAACCCUAAAUACUAAUACCAGAUCGAUAGUGCACAAGUACCGUGAGGGAAAGGUGAAAAGAACUGAGGUGAUCAGAGUGAAAUAGAACCUGAAACCAUUUGCUUACAAUCAUUCAGAGCACUAUGUAGCAAUACAGUGUGAUGGACUGCCUUUUGCAUAAUGAGCCUGCGAGUUGUGGUGUCUGGCAAGGUUAAGCAAACGCGAAGCCGUAGCGAAAGCGAGUCUGAAUAGGGCGCUUAGUCAGAUGCUGCAGACCCGAAACGAAGUGAUCUAUCCAUGAGCAAGUUGAAGCUAGUGUAAGAACUAGUGGAGGACUGAACCCAUAGGCGUUGAAAAGCCCCGGGAUGACUUGUGGAUAGGGGUGAAAGGCCAAUCAAACUUCGUGAUAGCUGGUUCUCUCCGAAAUAUAUUUAGGUAUAGCGUUGUGUCGUAAUAUAAGGGGGUAGAGCACUGAAUGGGCUAGGGCAUACACCAAUGUACCAAACCCUAUCAAACUCCGAAUACCUUAUAUGUAAUCACAGCAGUCAGGCGGCGAGUGAUAAAAUCCGUCGUCAAGAGGGAAACAACCCAGACUACCAGCUAAGGUCCCUAAAUCUUACUUAAGUGGAAAACGAUGUGAAGUUACUUAAACAACCAGGAGGUUGGCUUAGAAGCAGCCAUCCUUUAAAGAAAGCGUAAUAGCUCACUGGUCUAGUGAUUUUGCGCGGAAAAUAUAACGGGGCUAAAGUAAGUACCGAAGCUGUAGACUUGCACACAACUU
rnacentral:rRNA from 1 species